GAUCAUCCCAUCGGAGCUUCCGGCUGCGUGGAACAUCGUCGGUCAGGCAAAUCCAAAAAUAAAUUAAAACCAUCUGAAGCUCCGAUUGUUGUAUCCCACUUUCCAGUUAGUUCAAACCACUCCCUCUUAUAGAGCUUCUGGAUGUUCAAGAUGCUCCUCAAGGGCUAGGGGCUGCUUGGUGAUGGACAGAUUCGGUUUGUUGAAUGUCAGGGUACUGUAGCUUAGCUCAAGCCCUACGCGAGUUGUGAAAUCAAGCUAUGGUGAUUUCUUCUUUGAAAAAAACAAAAAGACCUGACUUGGUCUCUAAGAAAUAAGAUUAUGCAUCUACAUAUAUUGCAGUAAAA